rnacentral:rRNA from 1 species
AGAGUUUGAUCAUGGCUCAGAUUGAACGCUGGCGGCAGGCUUAACACAUGCAAGUCGAGCGGGGAGGAGUUGCUUGGAACUUAUCUUAGCGGCGGACGGGUGAGUAAUGCUUAGGAAUCUGCCAUUUAGUGGGGGACAACAUUCCGAAAGGGAUGCUAAUACCGCAUACGUCCUACGGGAGAAAGCAGGGGAUCUUCGGACCUUGCGCUAAAUGAUGAGCCUAAGUCGGAUUAGCUAGUUGGUGGGGUAAAGGCCUACCAAGGCGACGAUCUGUAGCGGGUCUGAGAGGAUGAUCCGCCACACUGGGACUGAGACACGGCCCAGACUCCUACGGGAGGCAGCAGUGGGGAAUAUUGGACAAUGGGCGGAACCCUGAUCCAGCCAUGCCGCGUGUGUGAAGAAGGCCUUUUGGUUGUAAAGCACUUUAAGCGAGGAGGAGGCUACCUAGAUUAAUACUCUGGGAUAGUGGACGUUACUCGCAGAAUAAGCACCGGCUAACUCUGUGCCAGCAGCCGCGGUAAUACAGAGGGUGCGAGCGUUAAUCGGAUUUACUGGGCGUAAAGCGUGCGUAGGCGGCUGAUUAAGUCGGAUGUGAAAUCCCUGAGCUUAACUUAGGAAUUGCAUUCGAUACUGGUCAGCUAGAGUAUGGGAGAGGAUGGUAGAAUUCCAGGUGUAGCGGUGAAAUGCGUAGAGAUCUGGAGGAAUACCGAUGGCGAAGGCAGCCAUCUGGCCUAAUACUGACGCUGAGGUACGAAAGCAUGGGGAGCAAACAGGAUUAGAUACCCUGGUAGUCCAUGCCGUAAACGAUGUCUACUAGCCGUUGGGG